ACCUCCUUAGUUCAACGGAACGAGAGCGCGCGGCCACGGACCGCGAGAUGAGGGUUCGAAUCCUUCCGGGGGUACCA
rnacentral:tRNA from 1 species